GAGUUCUGACUCAUUAACACAUAUACAAAAAUUGGAAUGAUACAGAGAUUAGCAUGGCCCUUGCACAAGGAAGAUAUGCAAAUUUGUGAAGCAUUGCGUCCAUGA
ensembl:snRNA U6 U6 spliceosomal RNA